UUGGAGGGCAAGUCUGGUGCCAGCAGCCGCGGUAAUUCCAGCUCCAAUAGCGUAUAUUAAAGUUGUUGCAGUUAAAAAGCUCGUAGUUGAAUUUCGGGGUUAGUAGGUUGGUCGUGCCUAUGGUAUGCACUGGCUUUACUGAUUCCUCCUUCUUGAAGAACUGUAAUGUCAUUAAUUUGGUGUUGCAGGGAAACAGGACUGUUACUUUGAAAAAAUUAGAGUGUUUAAAGCAAGCUAACGCUUGAAUACAUUAGCAUGGAAUAAUGAAAUAGGACGUUCGAUCCUAUUUUGUUGGUUUCUAGGAUUGACGUAAUGAUUAAUAGGGAUAGUUGGGGGCAUUAGUAUUCAAUUGUCAGAGGUGAAAUUCUUGGAUUUAUUGAAGACUAACUACUGCGAAAGCAUUUGCCAAGGAUGUUUUCAUUAAUCAAGAACGAAAGUUAGGGGAUCGAAGACGAUCAGAUACCGUCGUAGUCUUAACCAUAAACUAUGCCGACUAGGGAUCGGAUGAUGUUAAUUUUUUAAUGACUCAUUCGGCGCCUUACGGGAAAC
rnacentral:rRNA from 1 species